AACGAGCGCUGGCGGCAGGCCUAACACAUGCAAGUCGAGCGCACCUUUCGGGGUGAGCGGCGGACGGGUGAGUAACGCGUGGGAACGUACCCUCUUGCCUGGGAUAACAGCUGGAAACGACUGCUAAAACCGGAUGAGCCCUUUGGGGGAAGGAGAGGAUCGGCCCGCGUCUGAUUAGAUAGUUGGUGGGGUAACGGCCUACCAAGUCUACGAUCAGUACCUGGUUUGAGAGGAUGAUCAGGCACACUGGGACUGAGACACGGCCCAGACUCCUACGGGAGGCAGCAGUGGGGAAUCAUAGACAAUGGGGGAAACCCUGAUCUUGCCAUGCCGCGUGGACGAUGAAGGCCUUAGGGUUGUAAAGUCCUUUCACCGGGGAAGAUAAUGACGGUACCCGGAGAAGAAGCCCCGGCUAACUCCGUGCCAGCAGCCGCGGUAAUACGGAGAGGGCUAGCGUUGUUCGGAAUUACUGGGCGUAAAGCGCGCGUAGGCGGGCUGUUAAGUCGGGGGUGAAAUCCCGGGGCUCAACCCCGGAACUGCCCUCGAUACUGGCAGCCUUGAGGAUGGCAGAGGCCAGUGGAAUGGCGAGUGUAGAGGUGAAAUUCGUAGAUAUUCGCCGGAACACCAGUGGCGAAGGCGACUGGCUGGGCCAUUUCUG
rnacentral:rRNA from 1 species